rnacentral:tRNA from 1 species
UGAGUUGUGGCUCAGUGGCAGAGCGCUUGCCUAGCAUGUGUGAGGCACUGGGUUCGAUUCUCAACACCACAU